UCCUCCGUUGCACAAUUGGCUAGCGCAUCUGACUGUUAAUCAGGAGGCAAGGAAUAUAUUGCUGCUCCAAAUACAUUAUAAGUAAAAACGUUACUGACAUAUCACAAAGGUUGAAAGUUCAAGCUUUUCCGGGGGAG